AAGGUUGAAGACGAAGUUGUUCUUCGUGUGUGUUAGUUCCAAAGUUUGAAUUCCAACCAAUAGCAACUUGACAUCGCAUUUUUUCAAAUUUCUAGUCAUUGGCACACAUUUUUUUUCUUUUCUUUGUUUUAUUAUUUUGUUUUCUUUUUUCAUUAACUUUCAAAAUUAAUUUUAAGUAGCUCCUUUUGACCUUUUUGACUCCAUUUUUUUCAUAAAAUCUAUAAAAUUAUUUUGCACCACAUAUGUUUUUCUCAGAAUUUAAAAAUCAUUUUUAGCAGUUAUUAAUAUUUUUAUUUCAUUUUUUAUUUUCAUUUUCAAUUUAAUUUUCAAUCAUUUUCAAACAUUUUGAGAUCCAACUUUUGAGAUCUAUUUAGU
rnacentral:lncRNA from 1 species